AGUUCCAUAGUGUAGUGGUUAGCACGUCUGCUUUACAUGCAGAAGGUCCUGGGUUCGAUCCCCAGUGGAACCA
rfam:Sus scrofa isolate TJ Tabasco breed Duroc chromosome 1, whole genome shotgun sequence.